rnacentral:rRNA from 1 species
UACGUAGGGUGCAAGCGUUGUCCGGAAUUAUUGGGCGUAAAGAGCGUGUAGGCGGCCCGAUUAGUCCGCUGUGAAAGUCCAGGGCUCAACCCUGGAAUGCCGGUGGAUACUGUCGGGCUAGAGUCCGGAAGGGGCGAGUGGAAUUUCUGGUGUAGCGGUGAAAUGCGCAGAUAUCAGGAGGAACACCGGUGGCGAAGGCGGUUCUCUGGGCAUUACCUGACGCUGAGGAGCGAAAGUGUGGGGAGCGAACAGG